rnacentral:tRNA from 2 species
GCGCCAAUGGUUUAGUGGUAAAAUCCAAGCUUCCCAUGCUUGGGCCCGGGGUUCGAUUCCCCGUUGGCGCA